GUCAUUCUCAUAAUUGGCCAAAGGCUUCAUUUAAGCAGAUCAAUUGCCAAAAAAAUAAAAAAACAAUAAUGGCCUUGGAUAUCAAACUUCCUCCGCUUCACGAUUUAUAGCAAACAAAAUAUUGCUCUUAUCGAGUCACAAAGAUGUAUCACCAAGACUUAACUAAUUAAAAUAACCCACUUACUGAUACACAGAGACAACUCACAGAAACAAAUUUUAUAGAGGCAAUGUGCAACUCAUAUCUCUUGAAACCAAACUUAAAAUUCAUACUACCGUUUUUUUGCAGAAAAUAAGCGAUACAAACAUAGACAUGAAAUAAAGCAACCACAUCCGAUCUAUUACAAGAGAUAUAUUCAAAUACUUCAAGUAAUUAAAUCCAUGGCCAGUUAAUAAGAUCGAAGACCAAACCAAACAAAAGCAUAACAGAGGGCUUGAAGUUUCAUUGCUUUUUAAAGAUUAAAAUACAAAGCUGGAGAAACGUACCUAGAAAAAAAGGAUUGGUUAAAAUGCUUAAUGAAAGACAAAAGAGCGAAUAUGAAACUCAAAAACGACAACAACAACAGAGGUUCGGCAAUCAUUUCUUGGGAGCCUAGAUUUUGGAAAUCGACCUUGAACACCCCAUAUAUUGUAGAGAUGAUGUAGCAUAAGAACACACAAAACAAUGGAGCUAGACUUAGAAAUUCUUCCUUGUUCCCCCUUUUUACUUUACCCCUUUUUGGUUUCUAAAUCUCUUGAAAACUUCUGAUUUCAAUGUGACAGGAGAUGAGAUCAGAAGAAUGGAUGGAAGCUUGAUUUUGUUUUGGUGAAGGUUUUCACUUCCUCUGUUGUUCAGAGAUGGAGAGCGUCGUUGCUCCUUUUUUGCUUGGGAGGAUAAGGAUCUCAUCUGAUAUUUUUUUAAGGUCUAGGGGUCUAGGUCCUUUUAUAGGCUAAG
rnacentral:lncRNA from 1 species